rnacentral:rRNA from 1 species
CACGAGGGUUCCACCUCUUCCCAUUCCGAACAGAGAAGUUAAGCCUCGUCACGCCGAUGGUACUGCGUAACAGUGGGAGAGUAGGUAGCCGCCGUUU